CCUACGGGAGGCAGCAGUGGGGAAUAUUGCACAAUGGGCGCAAGCCUGAUGCGGCCAUGCCGCGUGUGUGAAGAAGGCCUUCGGGUUGUAAAGCACUUUCAGCGGGGAGGAAGGCGUUAAGGUUAAUAACCUUGUCGAUUGAAGUUACCCGCAGAAGAAGCACCGGCUAACUCCGUGCCAGCAGCCGCGGUAAUACGGAGGGUGCAAGCGUUAAUCGGAAUUACUGGGCGUAAAGCGCACGCAGGCGGUCUGUCAAGUCGGAUGUGAAAUCCCCGGGCUCAACCUGGGAACUGCAUUCGAAACUGGCAGGCUAGAGUCUUGUAGAGGGGGGUAGAAUUCCAGGUGUAGCGGUGAAAUGCGUAGAGAUCUGGAGGAAUACCGGUGGCGAAGGCGGCCCCCUGGACAAAGACUGACGCUCAGGUGCGAAAGCGUGGGGAGCAAACAGGAUUAGAUACCCGAGUAGUC
rnacentral:rRNA from 1 species